rnacentral:rRNA from 1 species
CUACACGGGUUUCUAAUCCUGUUUGCUCCCCACGCUUUCGUACCUGAGCGUCAGUUCCCGUCCAGUUGGCCGCCUACGCCACUGGUGUUCCUCCGAAUAUCUGCGAAUUUCACCUCUACACUCGGAAUUCCGCCAACCUCUCCGGGACUCUAGAAAUGGAGUUUCAAAAGCAAUUCCAGGGUUGAGCCCUGGGAUUUCACUUCUGACUUUCAUUUCCGCCUGCGUACGCUUUACGCCCAGUGAUUCCGAACAACGCUCGCCCCAUGCGUAUUACCGCGGCGGCUGGCAC